GUGGGGAAUUUUUGGCAAUGGGGGGAACCCUGACCAAGCAACGCCGCGUGGGUGAUGAAGUAUUUUGGUACGUAAAACCCUUUCGGCAGGGACGAAGCAAGUGACGGUACCUGCGGAAGAAGCUCCGGCCAACUCCGUGCCAGCAGCCGCGGUAAUACGGGGGGAGCAAGCGUUGUUCGGAAUUACUGGGCGUAAAGGGCGCGUAGGCGGCCGGACAAGUAAGUGGUGAAAUCCCCGGGCUCAACUUGGGGCCUGCCAUUUAAACUGUCUGGCUGGAGUGCAGGAGAGGGCAGCGGAAUUCCUGGUGUAGCGGUGAAAUGCGUAGAGAUCAGGAGGAACACCGGCGGCGAAGGCGGCUGCCUGGACUGCGACUGACGCUGAGGCGCGAAAGCUAGGGGAGCAAACAGGAUUAGAUACCCUAGUAGUCC
rnacentral:rRNA from 1 species